rnacentral:lncRNA from 1 species
UAUAUAACUUUUUUAUUAAUUUUGGCAAAUUAUUUCAUUUAGUGCAAAGAGCAUAUUUAAAAGUAUACAUAAUCUACCUUAAAAAAAGAACUAUAUAACAGUACACAUGAGAAGUAUGUAAACAGUGUAGGGAACAAAUCAACAAAGAGGAAGAUGAAGGCCUACCUAAUGACAUCGCCAAUCCUCCACACCACACAGAGAUGAAGGCCUACCUAAUGACAUCGCCAAUCUCUGCAGGACCAGCUCAGAAUGUGUGGUAGUAAGGGGCGAGAAACAAUGGGACAGAAACAGGUAUAAAAUAAGGGUUUAAUUUCAUAAUAUCAUAUUUCAUCAUAACGUAAUAAACAAAUGUAGCUAUGCGACAUGGGUAAAGAGUAAUGAUGAUUUAAAAAUAGACAGCAUGUAGGAAUAAAGCACCAGGUAUCACAAUACAGAAAAAGACCUAAUCGCAAAACAAGACUAUAUUUCCUCUCUAUAUAUAACGCAAGCCGAUACAGCUUGAUAGAUCUUCAAACCGGGAAUAUCUUAUGCAGAGUUAAGUCAGCGAUAUAAAACCCAUAACGUAUGGAAAAUAACAUUGAACAAGAUACGGAGAAAUAUCGUCGUAAAGCAAGAACAGUAACAACACCGACCAUCAGCUGACGAUUUCUACUCCUUCUCAUUUACUAGAUAUUGUACAUACUGACCAAUCCGGGAAAGAAGGAAGGGAAAUAUUAAUGUUUAAAAAUAUAACAUCCGAUUCCUUUGAAUUUUUAUUACGUAUUUGAGAAUUGAUAACCCAAACAGUGUUCGAUAACUGAAAUUAAAAUCAACUUUCAAAAAAUGAUUUCUUAUUCAAGCAUAAACUUGCCUCAUUAUUUAACUGUAUUUUUUCCUUCAUAAACCUUGGACCUAGUCCUCAAAAAAAAAUCCACCACUAGGCUUAUUCCCAAAUGCAGAAAGAGAAAUUUCCAGAUAAAAUUCCGUGAGUAAUACAUUGUAUAUAUCUAACGACAGAGGUGGGCUGAUCACCAAGCACUAGAUAAUACAGGCAAAAAAUGCAGGAACGUGAAUAUGACUCAAAACAAGAUAAUGCCACAUGUAUUACAAAUCUUACACGAGUAACCAGUGGGUCCGUUUUACAAGAAAUGAUUAAAAUUGGCAACUGUGACGUUAACUUGAAUUUCAAACUGAAAGUAAAUUUAAAUAUUUCAAUAGGUGAAACUGGGAAUGGCCAUCGAAUUGGAGAGUCAAAGGUUUAUGGUGUUUCUAUCACUUAUCAGGUGAAAAGCUGCAUGGUUUAUUCAGAUUUUUAUAAAGUCACCAUCUCAAUGGCCUAUUUGUUUGGUUUUUGUGGCCCCUGUUGCUGUUAAGGAGAGUUAAAUAGGCCUGCAGUAUGUAAUAACUGAUUCUACAUGCAUGGCCACCAUACAAUUCUAUUACUUUCACUAAAUUUGAUAUAUUAACAAAUAUUUGUUAUAUUUAAACUUCCAUUGGACUUUCGUAAGAAAAAGAAAAUACUGAUUCUACAUGCAUGGCCGCCAUACAAAACUAUUACUUUCACUAAACUUUAUGCAUAAACAAAUAUUUUUUUAUGUUUAAACUUCCAACUUUCCUAAGAAAAAGAAAAUACUGAUUCUACAUGCAUGGCCACCAUACAAAACUAUUACUUUCACUAAAUUUCAUAUAUAAACAAACAUUUUUUUUAUAUUUAAACUUCCAACUUUACUAAGAAAAAGAAAAUAAAUAAGUAAAAUAAUUUGAUGUCAAUCAGUUUGAACUUCUGGAUAUGAGCAACUUAAAAAAAUAUGUUUAAAAGAAGAUAUCCCAACACAAACCCAGCUUUAUUGACGCAUACACACUUCACCAUGCAUUUGAGCAAACACCUCCAUUUAAAGCACUUAGUUGACAGCACAUUACCAAUAAUAAUGGACAUAUAAAUAUAUGACACCAAACUUGCAGUAGUACUGGAGUCCUCAAAUACUCCUUGAAUACACACAACAUCCUAGUGCACUGAAUAACCCUACCUGACAACCCGGCCAAAGUACGCUGUGUUUUCAGUUACAAUUCAACAACUUUCGCAAUUCGCUUCCUUCAUUGCCAUUUCUUAGAAUUCCCUACCCAAUAAUGACAGCCCGUGUACACGACCCUACAUACCUGUAGAUUGUCACAUUCCAUUAUAGCUACCGAGAUAGAGGCAAUCCCCUUCUACCUGGGCUGCAUCGGUCACCUGUUAAAUUACCGUAUCUCACCUAAUAAACUCAUCAAUCCCUUAAAGUGACUCCUACAUAGUGAGUUUUGUAGGAUUUUUUUUAGGAAAGUUCUGAACAUCAUUUUCAAAUGUUGAUGGGUCCCUAUUUUAUUUGAUAUAGUGGAUUUGAAAAAUGUGGGUCCGUCAAAAAUGGCACGAGACAUGGACUCAAAUAUGUUUGUCCCAAAAUCACUGCUCCAUUUUUUCUGGUAAAAUUAUCCCAUUCCUUCACUUAAAUUUAUGGGACUUGCUUAACAAAAUGUGUUUUAUGGGCAUUUUUGAGAUUUUGAAAGCUUCUUUUAUUAUUUUUAUAUGAAGUCCCAAAUUGUUAAAUACACAGGGCACUUAAUACAUUCAAUAUGGUAAUACUCAUUCCUUUAAGGUUAGUAUUGAUUGUCAAUCUUAUCAAAUGGAUAUUUACCUACCUGUGCACAAAUGAAAUCAAAAACGUUUACCUGUCAAUAUUUUUUCUGGUUGCCCCGAGGAGUGGGGAAGGGUUUGUGUGUGUGAGGGACCCAGACAGUCAAAGUAUAACACGGUAAUAGUGGUUAGACUUUAGACACAGUACUAUAGGAACAGCAGUAAAAUGGUAUAGAUCUAGGAGAACAGCAGAUUGGGUUUGAUUGGUAGAGUAACACAGUACAACAUCACUAGCCUUAUGUAGGACUUUAAUCCUUUCACCACUACAGACCAUAAUGGACUCAUCCAUAUCAAUGUAUGGCAGAGUCUACUAAAGUUACAUAGGGUUGAAAGGGUUAACUCACCUAAAAAUCAAAAAUACUUAAUAUUAAUAUUGCUAGCUUUAUUGCAAAACACUGUUCUUGUUCAAGCACAGCAAACUCCACAAUAGCCAAUGGUCAAAUUUGGUCAGGUCAGAUUGGUGUAUAAACUUGGUAAAUGUGGUAAUCAGAGGUCAAUUAACUGGUAUAAAUCUGGUAUUGGUCAAUGGUCAGGUGAUAAUCUGGGGUCCUCUGAUUGGUGUAAAGUAACCCUGGUAUUGGUCAAUGGUCAGGUGAUAUUUGAUUGGAUCAACUUUGGAAGUAGGCCUUGGUCAUGAUAUUGGACAUAUUAACAAGCCAGUAAUGGUUUUUGUCAUGAGAUGUUUGAGGUAAUUUGAUUGAUAUAAAUAGCCAUGAUUAUACAAAGUAACACCACUGAUCAGGACACAGAGUAUAACUGUUUCCAAAAGUAGAGUACAAUGUUAGGAAAUGACAGUCUACGAAUGAGUUAAGGUAGCGCGUCCCAGCAAUCCAUGUUGUAUCUCCAAUCACGAAGAGUUCCAAUUUGUUCGACAUUUUGCUGACUUUAGCAUUACUUGCCCAUUUACUAAAGCAAUGAGUAAUAUAACAAAAAAUAUAUUUAUCAUAACUGUCUUUGUAUAAUUCUUGGGAAAACAAUAAAAUAU